UAGAGUUUGAUCCUGGCUCAGGAUGAACGCUGGCGGCGUGCUUAACACAUGCAAGUCGAACGAACCUUCGGGUUAGUGGCGGACGGGUGAGUAACGCGUGAGAAUCUGCCCUCAGGAGGGGGAUAACGGUUGGAAACGACCGCUAAUACCCCAUAUGCCGAUAGGUGAAAUGAAUUUCGCCUGAGGAUGAGCUCGCGUCUGAUUAGCUUGUUGGUGAGGUAAUGGCUCACCAAGGCUUCGAUCAGUAGCUGGUCUGAGAGGAUGAUCAGCCACACUGGGACUGAGACACGGCCCAGACUCCUACGGGAGGCAGCAGUGGGGAAUUUUCCGCAAUGGGCGAAAGCCUGACGGAGCAACGCCGCGUGAGGGACGAAGGCCUCUGGGCUGUAAACCUCUUUUCUCAAGGAAGAAGAUAUGACGGUACUUGAGGAAUAAGCCACGGCUAAUUCCGUGCCAGCAGCCGCGGUAAUACGGGAGUGGCAAGCGUUAUCCGGAAUUAUUGGGCGUAAAGCGUCCGCAGGCGGCCUUUCAAGUCUGCUGUUAAAGCGUGGAGCUUAACUCCAUUAUGGCAGUGGAAACUGAUAGGCUUGAGUAUGGUAGGGGCAGAGGGAAUUCCCGGUGUAGCGGUGAAAUGCGUAGAUAUCGGGAAGAACACCAGUGGCGAAGGCGCUCUGCUGGGCCAUUACUGACGCUCAUGGACGAAAGCCAGGGGAGCGAAAGGGAUUAGAUACCCCUGUAGUCCUGGCCGUAAACGAUGAACACUAGGUGUCGGGGGAAUCGACCCCUUCGGUGUCGUAGCUAACGCGUUAAGUGUUCCGCCUGGGGAGUACGCACGCAAGUGUGAAACUCAAAGGAAUUGACGGGGGCCCGCACAAGCGGUGGAGUAUGUGGUUUAAUUCGAUGCAACGCGAAGAACCUUACCAGGGUUUGACAUCCUGAGAACCUCUUAGAAAUUUGAGGGUGCCUUCGGGAAUUCAGUGACAGGUGGUGCAUGGCUGUCGUCAGCUCGUGUCGUGAGAUGUUGGGUUAAGUCCCGCAACGAGCGCAACCCACGUUUUUAGUUGCCAGCAUUUAGUUGGGCACUCUAGAAAGACCGCCGGUGAUAAACCGGAGGAAGGUGUGGAUGACGUCAAGUCAUCAUGCCCCUUACACCCUGGGCUACACACGUACUACAAUGCCAUGGACAAAGGGCAGCAAACUCGCGAGAGCUAGCAAAUCCCAUAAACCGUGGCUCAGUUCAGAUCGUAGGCUGCAACUCGCCUACGUGAAGUAGGAAUCGCUAGUAAUCGCAGGUCAGCAUACUGCGGUGAAUACGUUCCCGGGCCUUGUACACACCGCCCGUCACACCAUGGAAGUUGGCCAUGCCCGAAGUCGUUACUCCAACCCUUGUGGAGGAGGACGCCGAAGGUGGGGCUAAUGACUGGGGUGAAGUCGUAACAAGGUAACCA
rnacentral:rRNA from 1 species